rnacentral:rRNA from 1 species
GCACACUUGUCAUCUUUAUAUCUCCACCUGUGCACCUUUUGUAGAUCUGGAUAACUUUCUGAAUGCCUGGCAUUCAGGUUUGAGGAUUGACUUUUUGUCUUUCCUUACAUUUCCAGGCCUAUGUUUUCUUCAUAUACACCAUUUAUGUUAUAGAAUGUAAUGAAAAGGCCUUUGUGCCUACAAAAGUUAUACAACUUUCAGCAACGGAUCUCUUGGCUCUCGCAUCGAUGAAGAACGCAGCGAAAUGCGAUAAGUAAUGUGAAUUGCAGAAUUCAGUGAAUCAUCGAAUCUUUGAACGCACCUUGCGCUCCUUGGUAUUCCGAGGAGCAUGCCUGUUUGAGUGUCAUUAAUAUAUCAACCUCCUCAAGUUUUUACUUGUCGAGUGUUUGGAUGUGGGGGUUUCUUUUGCUGGUCUCUUUUGAGGUCGGCUCCCCUAAAAUGCAUUAGCGGAACAAUUUGUUGACCCGUUCAUUGGUGUGAUAAUAUCUACGCUUUUGACGUGAAACAGGUUCAGCUUCUAACAGUCCAUUGACUUGGACAAUUUUUCAUUAAUGUGACCUCAAAUCAGGUAGGACUACCCGCUGAACUUAAG